GGGGGCGACUGGUUUCGACAGGGUAGUUCUGAGGUGGGCAGCAGGUCGUGGUCUCCUCGCCACGUUAAACAGGGGUACCGUCAAAUUGAAUUGACGACAAUAACUCUUAUGAGCCUCAGCUGGCUCUUGCUGCUUAAUUAAAAUAGCAGCCGUCAAUGCGGGAGUUGCUCCUGCUCUCGCGGCGACGUCACUCUAGGGAGCUGCGCACAUGGACGUGGUUGGUAUGCCGUGUGCUAAGGCCGAACCAACUGGAAUGCAGCGUGCCAGUUAUCGAGCAUAAUGCAUUCGAGAUCUAAUCGAUAACUGAGCCUGGAGACACCUGCCAGGGGAUUGCUUUGGACCGGAGUUCGAUCCUCCGCGCCUCCACCA
rnacentral:tmRNA from 2 species